AACUAAAUUUUAAUUAUGGCAUGCAUCUUAACAUUUAUAUAAAUAUAUAUCAUAACCUAAAUAUAAAUAAUUUAACAACUUAAAUUAGAAAAAAAAAAUAAAAAUCUCGGGUGUAGCCCGGGUUCAUCUCUAGUCUAAUAUAAAGAAGAGCUACUCUCUUCUCCCAUACUGCCACGUCAUCAAUUCAUGCAUUAUGGGAGUGACAUGUCCCUUACAAUCAUACGCUGCGUUUUGUCUGAAUCGUUUAUGGGUUUUACGAACACAAGCCGGCUUGGACUAACGUUAUUUGGGCUCAUAACAAAACAAAAUCAAAGCCGAAUUCUUUUACCUUCACCUUCUUCAGACGUUGCGACCAUGGAUUUCUAGGGUUCAUCAUGUUGUGGGAGCUUUGAUUAGGUCAACCGACUAUGGAGUUUCUGGAGUUUUAUGUUACAUGAAUCGUCAUGAAGAAACUCUGGAUCGAACUCUGUUUGUGACGUUUUCGUUUGAGGUUCCUCUCCUCCAGACCGUUACAGAUGCUUUGAUUGAUGGUCUUAACUCAUUCUCCCCACUCUUACCAAGAUUCCUCAUUCAAUGCAUUUCUCUUCCAGUCGGUCAAUCUUUUGCUAUAAAAAGCUGGUAGCUGUAGCACCACCGUCCAAGGCCGUCUUGGAGGCCAAGAAUGUGAAAAGAGGUUGCGAUCUUAUGGGCGUAGUAUGCUUCUCCUUGAUGCCAAGGUAGCCCCGGCGAUUUCCAAAACAAACCAUUCCCUUUUCCUUUAAGAUUUACAAGUGAAGGUAUGAUUAGUCAUUUGAGUUUAACGUUUUUCAGGCAUAGAUUUUGAGUAUAUUAAUCAUCUGAUUCUUCCCUUUUCCAAUUGGUUCUGAUUCUCGCUGUAUGUGUAACAAAAAAGAUAGAAGGUGUUUAUUUCUAAAGAGUUAGUUCAUUUGUCGACAUCUAAACCAUUUAAUUCAAUCUAUGAUUUGUGAGUUUCAACAUCAUUUUGAAUCAAUUAUUUUUUCGAGAA